rnacentral:rRNA from 1 species
CCUACGGGUGGCAGCAGUGGGGAAUAUUGCACAAUGGGGGAAACCCUGAUGCAGCAACGCCGCGUGAGUGAAGAAGUAUUUCGGUAUGUAAAGCUCUAUCAGCAGGGAAGAAGAUCACGGUACCUGAGCAUUAAUCCCCGGCUAACUACGUUCCAGCAGCCGUGGUUAUACGGAGGGGGCAAGCGUUAUCCGGAUUUACUGGGCGUAAGGGGAGCGUAGACGGUGAGACAAGUCUGAAGUGAAAGGCCGGGGCUCAACCCCGGGAGUGCAUUGGAAACUGCCAGACUGGAGUGCAGUAGAGGCAAGCGGAAUUCGUGGUGUAGCGGUGAAAUGCGUAGAUAUUACGAAGAACCCCGAUGGCGAAGGCAGCUUGCUAAACAGUGACUGACAUUGAGGCUCGAAAGUGUGGGUAUCAAACAGGAUUAGAUACCCGAGUAGUC